ACGGGUGAGUAACACGUAAGAAUCUGCCCUAUAGUGAGGAAUACCCUUGAGAAAUUGAGGUUAAUACUGCAUAAGUCCCUUCGGGGAGAAAGACGUCUUUUAUGUCGUCGCUAUAGGAUGAGCUUGCGGACUAUCAGCUUGUUGGUGAGGUAAAGGCUCACCAAGGCUAUGACGGUUAACCGGCCUGAGAGGGUGUACGGUCACAUAGGCACUGAGAUACGGGCCUGACUCCUACGGGAGGCAGCAGUGGGGAAUAUUGCGCAAUGGGCGAAAGCCUGACGCAGCGACGCCGCGUGGAGGAUGAAGGUCUUCGGAUUGUAAACUCCUGUCAGAUGGGAAGAAAAGUUUACGUCUAAUAAAUGUAAAAGAUGACGGUACCAUCAGAGGAAGCACCGGCUAACUUCGUGCCAGCAGCCGCGG
rnacentral:rRNA from 1 species